UACGGGUGGGGCAAGCGUUGUUCGGAAUUACUGGGCGUAAAGGGCUCGUAGGCGGCCAACUAAGUCAGACGUGAAAUCCCUCGGCUUAACCGGGGAACUGCGUCUGAUACUGGAUGGUUUGAAUCCGGGAGAGGGAUGCGGAAUUCCAGGUGUAGCGGUGAAAUGCGUAGAUAUCUGGAGGAACACCGGUGGCGAAGGCGGCAUCCUGGACCGGCAUUGACGCUGAGGAGCGAAAGCCAGGGGAGCAAACGGG
rnacentral:rRNA from 1 species